CAGUCGCCGCGGUAAUACGAAGGGUGCAAGCGUUACUCGGAAUUACUGGGCGUAAAGCGUGCGUAGGUGGUUGUUUAAGUCUGUCGUGAAAGCCCUGGGCUCAACCUGGGAAUUGCGAUGGAUACUGGGCGACUAGAGUGCGGUAGAGGAUAGUGGAAUCUCCGGUGUAGCAGUGAAAUGCGUAGAGAUCGGAAGGAACAUCUGUGGCGAAGGCGACUAUCUGGGCCAACACUGACACUGAGACACGAAAGCGUGGGGAGCAAACAGGAUUAGAUACCCGGGUAGUCCCUGUCUCUUAUAC
rnacentral:rRNA from 1 species